rnacentral:rRNA from 1 species
AGAGUUUGAUCCUGGCUCAGGACGAACGCUGGCGGCGUGCUUAACACAUGCAAGUCGAGCGAUGAAGCUUCCUUCGGGAAGUGGAUUAGCGGCGGACGGGUGAGUAACACGUGGGUAACCUGCCUCAAAGUGGGGGAUAGCCUUCCGAAAGGAAGAUUAAUACCGCAUAAUAUAAGAGAAUCGCAUGAUUUUUUUAUCAAAGAUUUAUUGCUUUGAGAUGGACCCGCGGCGCAUUAGCUAGUUGGUAAGGUAACGGCUUACCAAGGCAACGAUGCGUAGCCGACCUGAGAGGGUGAUCGGCCACAUUGGAACUGAGACACGGUCCAGACUCCUACGGGAGGCAGCAGUGGGGAAUAUUGCGCAAUGGGGGAAACCCUGACGCAGCAACGCCGCGUGGGUGAUGAAGGUCUUCGGAUUGUAAAGCCCUGUUUUCUAGGACGAUAAUGACGGUACUAGAGGAGGAAGCCACGGCUAACUACGUGCCAGCAGCCGCGGUAAUACGUAGGUGGCGAGCGUUGUCCGGAUUUACUGGGCGUAAAGGGUGCGUAGGCGGAUGUUUAAGUGGGAUGUGAAAUCCCCGGGCUUAACCUGGGGGCUGCAUUCCAAACUGGAUAUCUAGAGUGCAGGAGAGGAAAGCGGAAUUCCUAGUGUAGCGGUGAAAUGCGUAGAGAUUAGGAAGAACACCAGUGGCGAAGGCGGCUUUCUGGACUGUAACUGACGCUGAGGCACGAAAGCGUGGGUAGCAAACAGGAUUAGAUACCCUGGUAGUCCACGCCGUAAACGAUGGAUACUAGGUGUAGGGGGUAUCAACUCCUCCUGUGCCGCAGUUAACACAAUAAGUAUCCCGCCUGGGGAGUACGGUCGCAAGAUUAAAACUCAAAGGAAUUGACGGGGGCCCGCACAAGCAGCGGAGCAUGUGGUUUAAUUCGAAGCAACGCGAAGAACCUUACCUGGACUUGACAUCCCUUGCAUAGCCUAGAGAUAGGUGAAGCCCUUCGGGGCAAGGAGACAGGUGGUGCAUGGUUGUCGUCAGCUCGUGUCGUGAGAUGUUAGGUUAAGUCCUGCAACGAGCGCAACCCUUGUUAUUAGUUGCUACCAUUAAGUUGAGCACUCUAAUGAGACUGCCUGGGUAACCAGGAGGAAGGUGGGGAUGACGUCAAAUCAUCAUGCCCCUUAUGUCCAGGGCUACACACGUGCUACAAUGGUAGGUACAAUAAGACGCAAGACCGUGAGGUGGAGCAAAACUUAUAAAACCUAUCUCAGUUCGGAUUGUAGGCUGCAACUCGCCUACAUGAAGCUGGAGUUGCUAGUAAUCGCGAAUCAGAAUGUCGCGGUGAAUACGUUCCCGGGCCUUGUACACACCGCCCGUCACACCAUGAGAGCUGGUAACACCCGAAGUCCGUGAGGUAACCGUAAGGAGCCAGCGGCCGAAGGUGGGAUUAGUGAUUGGGGUGAAGUCGUAACAAGGUAGCCGUAGGAGAACCUGCGGCUGGAUCACCU